UACGAAGGGGGCUAGCGUUGUUCGGAUUUACUGGGCGUAAAGCGCACGUAGGCGGAUCGUUAAGUCGGGGGUGAAAUCCUGGAGCUCAACUCCAGAACUGCCUUCGAUACUGGCGAUCUUGAGUCCGGAAGAGGUGAGUGGAAUUCCUAGUGUAGAGGUGGAAUUCGUAGAUAUUAGGAAGAACACCAGUGGCGAAGGCGGCUCACUGGCCCGAUACUGACGCUGAGGCACGAAAGCGUGGGGAGCAAACAGG
rnacentral:rRNA from 1 species